rnacentral:rRNA from 1 species
UACGUAGGGACCAAGCGUUGUUCGGAUUUACUGGGCGUAAAGGGCGCGUAGGCGGCUUUAUAAGUCGGGGGUGAAAGCCUGUGGCUCAACCACAGAAUUGCCUUCGAUACUGUAGAGCUUGAGACCGGAAGAGGUAAGUGGAACUGCGAGUGUAGAGGUGAAAUUCGUAGAUAUUCGCAAGAACACCAGUGGCGAAGGCGGCUUACUGGUCCGGUUCUGACGCUGAGGCGCGAAAGCGUGGGGAGCAAACAGG